rnacentral:rRNA from 1 species
AAUGAACGCUGGCGGCAGGCCUAACACAUGCAAGUCGAACGAAGCCUUCGGGCUUAGUGGCGGACGGGUGAGUAACGCGUGGGAACGUGCCCCUUGGUACGGAAUAGCCCCGGGAAACUGGGAGUAAUACCGUAUGUGGUCGAGAGACGAAAGAUUUAUCGCCAAGGGAUCGGCCCGCGUUGGAUUAGGUAGUUGGUGGGGUAAUGGCCUACCAAGCCGACGAUCCAUAGCUGGUUUGAGAGGAUGAUCAGCCACACUGGGACUGAGACACGGCCCAGACUCCUACGGGGGGCAGCAGUGGGGAAUCUUAGACAAUGGGGGAAACCCUGAUCUAGCCAUGCCGCGUGAUCGAUGAAGGCCUUAGGGUUGUAAAGAUCUUUCAGAUGGGAAGAUAAUGACGGUACCAUCAGAAGAAGCCCCGGCUAACUCCGUGCCAGCCGCCGCCGUAAAAC